CCUACGGGUGGCAGCAGUGAGGAAUAUUGGUUAAUGGGCGGGAGCCUGAACCAGCCAAGCCGCGUGAGGGAAGAAGGUACAGCGUAUCGUAAACCUCUUUUGUCAGGGAACAAAGGCGGGGACUAGUCCCCGGAUGAGGGUACCUGAAGAAAAAGCAUCGGCUAACUCCGUGCCAGCAGCCGCGGUAAUACGGAGGAUGCGAGCGUUAUCCGGUUUUAUUGGGUCAAAAGGGUGCGAAGGCGGCCUGUUAAGUCAGCGGGAAAAGCCCGGGGCGCAACCCCGGAGAGCCGUUGAAACUGGCGGGCUGGAGUUGGGGAGAGGUACGCGGAAUUCGCGGUGUAGCGGUGAAAUGCUUAGAUAUCGCGCAGAACCCCGAUUGCGAAGGCAGCGUACCGGCUCCACACUGACGCUGAGGCACGAAAGCGUGGGUAUCGAACAGGAUUAGAUACCCCUGUAGUG
rnacentral:rRNA from 1 species